ensembl:lncRNA
CUUACACUCGAGGUUCUCCUCGGGUGUACUCAUUACGAGUGAAUAUAUGAAUGCUUCACACCGGUCAAAAACAUUAGAGGUUAUGCAAUAUGCACCAAUCCGUUUUAAAAUACUCCAAACACAUUAUAUAAGAUGAUAUGCAAAUUAGUCCAGAAAUGUAUGAAACGAUGAAAUUUCUCAGUGAAGCCUCAUUCAAACAAAGGAAACAGCCAUGACAACGCUGAACACAGUGAUUAUCAUUUUUCUCAGACAAACCUUGCCAAAAUCAGUGCAGAAAUAACCACAAAUUAUGCAAGUAUAUGAAUUAUAAAUUCCGCUUACCUUUGACAUUUUUAACCAAAUAAUGAUAAUAAUCUGUUUCAUUGUUUCAGCGCGAGAGGCAUACGCCAUUGAAUGUAUACCAUGAACGGUUUCAGAGCCUUCAGUGCAGAUUUUAGGGUGAUGUUGGCAAUUUCAGCCAAUCCUCACUCUCAAUCGUCAUUUUUCCGCUCUACCCAUUUGGGCUUCUGAGUGGCUAAGUAAGCUGUUGAUCAUUUCCACGUGGGUUUAGUCAGAUCUAAUGGGAUCAGACAAUUCAAAGAAGUAGUUGUGAAAAGAGCAUGUCAGCCUCCAGAAUCUGACUGCUGCCGUAUGUCAGCUGUGAGGCCUUCACAAAAGCCUGUCCUAGUAAUCCUCACUCAAACAACAUAAAACCUUCCAGGAUUACUGUCCAAACACUGGGCUAUCAGUUAGAUGUGGUUUCAGCCUGCUACCUCCAUGUUUUAUUUGACUUAAAGGGCUGUUAGGGAUCAGAACACUUUCCCACAGAAAAUGAACUGCCAAACUGUCCAGAUAGGCAAAGUAGUUACUGGGUUAUUACACUUUUUAUCAUGGGUGUGACAUUUUCGGAGCAGUCGCAAACAUACCUCAGAGUGGGAUAAAGUCACGGACUUCAGUUAUGAUUGUGCUAAUGAAUCUUAUAUUAGUGUGACUUAAUGCUGGGCCCAUUUUGAUGUUUAAAAUAUCUACCUUCUCCAGCUAAAUUGAGGGAAACAUAUGUACCUAAUAUAGUUCUUCUAAAUAAUUUGACUUUGUCCUCAGAUAAGUAAUAAUAAGUCGUUCAGUUGUGUAAAUUUUAAGCACAACUUCAUAAGAAAAUAGACAGCAAGUUUCCAUGGAAACUUUCUUUUUUGCUAAUUUUUCACUUUUGAGAGUGAACGCUAGAAUGCUGCUAGAAUGGUCACGGAGGUUGGGGGGUCGGCUCAACGUGGUGCAGGGGUAGAGAGGGUGAGCUGGGAACCUCAAGGUUGGUAGUUCGAGUCCUGGCUGCCCCAUGUCUCAAGUCAAAGUGUCCCUUGAGCAAGACACCUAAUCCCCAAUUGCUCCCCGGGCAAAAAUGUAAAAAGCCAUGGGUUAAAAAUGUAAUGUAAGUCACUUUGGAUAAAAGCAUCAGCUAAAUGUAAUGUGUUUUUUUAAAUGCCCCAAUAAGAAAAUAAGUAUGGGCAAGAGGAUCAUUAAGAGGAGCAUCAAGGAGCAUCAAGGAUCCUCAGUUUAACGUUUACAAUUAUAUUUCCUGUUUUCCAACUUUAUUGUUUGGCAUUGAAAUGCGUUACGUAUUAAUUAAUUAAUUAAAGAUAUUACUUUAUUUUAAAAGAGGUGGUGUACAUGCAGUACAGCGUGUUGUGAUGUUCCAAUUAGUGACCGAUUUACAAGAACUGCUACCUUUCUGAGACAAAGGAUGUUUCACGCGAUUAACUUGAUAAUACUUUGUCUAAUUUGUAUGUGCCUUAGAAGCACACUUUAAUUAGUAGAUGACAAGGGGUGCCUUUAAGAUCAUUGAAUUAAUGGUGUUCCAUCUUUUGUUUUUUUUUGUUGAGUUUUUUGUGCUUUCUCCCCUAGCAGGUCUCCGUAGAUCGUAGUUCCUUCUGGACCCUGGUCCUGACACCUACCGUGGCCCUGCUGACGCCUGCUGCUGCCAUCAUCAUCGUCACCAUUAUUAUUUUAUAUAUUAAUCAUAUUACUGUACUCGUAAACCAACAUUAGCCUCUCCUAAAGUCUCUGCUCUCCCUCCCCACAGGCUCCUGUGGAUUGACAUAGACAUAGAAUUAGCUAACGUUAGCUACAACUUGAUGGUGGUUGCCCCUGCAGUGGUCCUGCUGUGCGCCUGGCUUACUACUCACAAUUACUUGAAUCAUUUCUGUCAUAUAAUUGCAUGUAUUAUACAUUGUUCAUUCUGUACACAUGGCAUCCAUUGUAGUCUGUCCAUCCCGGGAGUGGGAUCCCUCCUCUGACGUUCUCCCUAAGGUUUCUUCCCUUUUUUCCCUCUUGGAAGGGUUUUUUCAUUUUUUUGGGGAGUUUUUCCUGUGCCGAUGGUGGGUUUCGGGACAGAGGAUGUUGUAUGUGUACAGACUGUAAAGCCCUCUGAGGCAAAUUUGUAAUUUGCGAUGUUGGGAUGUACAAAGUAAAAUGAAUUGAAAUUGAAUUGAAGGGACUUGAACCCUCAACCUUCUGAUUCAAGGUCAGACGCCUUGUCCAUUAGGCCACAUGGUCACAAAAUACCUUCACUCUUUACAAGUGCUAUUGUUAACUUGCUGCGUAGGAGGGUAUCAUCUUUUUUUAUACAAAGGUAUAUUGCAAUUGUGGCCUACGUUUAGCAUUGUGGAUUGGCAUGUUGUUUCAAGUUUGGGGCACAGUGGAAUUUUUGCCAUCAUUUGUAUUUUUGCAAGUAUAAUACCUGGCAACACCUAAUAUUUCAACUCCAUCAUGAAUUCAAACAUCUACUGCAGGUGUGAUCGGAAUCCUCGUUGAACGAUUGUCGCUGGGAAGUUUGGGGAUUAAAAUUGUACUCACAAAGUAUUACCAAUAUGAGGUGAAGGACACGGUUUUAAUUUUUUUUGACCAAUUGCUUUGCAGAAAGUACUUGAAAAUGUUACCAAUUUUUGACCGUCACUAAGUGUGAUCACCGAAUGGAUCCACAAAAUAACCUUUGGAUGAAGAUAGAUCAUUAAAGUUGGAGAAGAUGAACCAUCAUCCAAUUUGGCCCUUAUUCCCGUCCCCUAAAUCCAGAUUGUAUGCCAGAAAAGACCUUCUAAGCGAAGGUAGUAUAAAAUUGUUUACGCCGUGUAAGUGCUUAUUAGUUUUAGUUGCAAUAUUGCGGUUGAGGUGGAUCAGAUAGCGGAUAAUUAAACUUGGUGAAAGAAAUGAUCAGCCACCUUGGAUUUUUCUUUGGAAUAGAACAGUCUUAUUAGCUGGCAUCACACAGUAACGUUGGAUGUUGUGUUCCAUACUUUAGAUGUCUUUGGCCAGUAUGGGAAUUGAACCAAUAGCCCUUAGUUCAAACCCACUCCACUAAAUCCAGAUUGUAUGCCAGAAAAGAACUUCUAAACUAUAGGCAGUAUAACAUGUCUUGCUUAAGUGCAUCAGUUUUAGUUGAAUGAAAUAUAAUAUAAUGAAAGAUUAUUGUUUACUCAGCAUUGAUGUAUCUAGCAUAUACAAUUAAUCGUUGCACCCAGGUCUAACACCAUCAAAGUUCCCAUUUAUAUUACUGUAAACAUCAAUAUGCAUCACUAACUUUGUUUCUUCCACUGAGCAUCUUUCUCGCCUCAUGGGGUUCCAUGGAUCAUGGCUCUAUAUGGACUCUGGUCUCUGCCUCCUGCCAUGGCCUUUUGACAACUGCUGCUGCUAUCAUCAUUAUUAUUAAUAUUUUAAUAAGAUUUAUUACACUACCAAUACGUUCAACAUAAACCAACAUUACCCUUUCCUAAAGUCUUUGUGUUUUCCCUUCCCUGAUCUGAUGUUUGCCGUCCCUGCAGUGGUCCUGCCGUACACCUAGCUUACUACUCGCGCUUAUUUGAAUAAUUUCUGACAUAGGAAUUGAAUUUAUUGUACAUCUUUUACAUUGUUCAUUCUGCACCCAUGACAUCCAUUGUAGUCUGUCGAUUCUGAGAGAGGGAUCCCUCCUCUGACGGUCUCCCCAAGGUAGGGUUUUCAUUUUUUUGAGAGUUUUUCCUGUCCCAAUGUGAGGGUUUCGGGACAGAAGAUGUCGCAUGUCUACUGACUGUAAAGCCCUCUGAGGCAAAUAUUUGAUAUGUGAUUUUGUGCUGUACAAAAUAAAAUGAAUUGAAUUGUAAUUAAAAAAAAAUCAACUUUUCUGAUCCAUUUAA